GAAAUGCGAUACGUAAUGUGAAUUGCAGAAUUCAGUGAAUCAUCGAAUCUUUGAACGCAAAUUGCGCUCUUGGGUCACCCUGAGAGCAUGCCUCGUUCAGUAUCGUUUCUAUCCACCUCCAAAAGCUUUUUGAUAGGCUUUGGGAAAAUGAGUUUAUCUUGGAUCGUAACGAUCCAAGUUACUUGAAGGACAUUGAGUUUCGAACGCUAACCUUGUUCCCUCGCUUGUCGAGGCUCUUGAACUCAGUCUCAAUGGAGAUACUUGACCUUUGUGUCAUUUCUUUCAUUGAAUCCGGCUGUUUGGUUCGCUGUAGAGUGUAACAUAAACCGCGGUCUCGCGACUUCUUAAAACCUUGCUGAAAUCAGUAGCAAGACUGACUUAACGAUCUGAUCUGAACUGA
rnacentral:misc_RNA from 1 species